UGGUGCGGUGCGCACGAGAGGAGGAGCUACGCAAGUUUACAGCUCUGCUUGAGGAAAAGUGAGAAUCACUCUUUCAUUUCUGCUUCAUGACUCUGCAGGUUGACUGCAUUUAGUCAUAGAAACUAAGAAACACUCAUUGUCGCUGUUGUCAACUGUGUGGACAUUAGGAUGCAGUUGGAGCACCGCCUUGAAUCCAUAGAACACCAGAAGGCACUGCAGGUAGCCUCUGAUCACAACCUGAAGAAGGAUUGGGAAGAGCGUCUCCACAAAGUCCAGCAAAGCGAGGAAUGUGCUCACAGAGAGCUGCAUAACCUGAGAUGUAAACUCCAGCAGCAGAGCUCACAGGUUGAGGAGCUUGAGAGGCAAAAAGCAGAAUUUUUUGACCUACAGCAGGUAAAUUCAGAACAUUCAGGAAAUCAAGUGAGUUUGUGAACAUUGGAGUAAAUAUAAAUGUUUGUUUGGCAUGCUAGCAAAAUCAGGAGCUUGGAGUACAGAUUGAAAGGCUGUCCCACUCUGAAAAUGAGUUGAAGGAGACAAAGCAGGAUCUUCAACAAGUGUUGGGGACAAUGAAGGAGGAGCUCAGAGCAGCCCAGGCCCAGGCAGAGAAGAGCCAAGAAGAAGCUAAGCAGUAUGUCUGCACUACAUGCUGUCGCCAUCACAUCAUUGAAUAUUAGUUUUUUUUUCUCUCACUAACUUCCACUUGGACUAUGCUGCGUCCUCAGGUUUCUGGAGAAGCGUCAGGUGGAAUGGUUCCUGGAGGAACAUAAGCUGCAGCAGCGAGAAGCGGAGCUGCAGCACAAAUACCAUGACGUGAAAGAGAAACUGCAGAAGGCAGAACUGGCUCAGAAGAAGGUAGAGCUGACAGCUCACACAGUACAGACCCUUUUCAAAAAAUUAGAAUAUUAGGGAAAAGUUGUUUAAUUCCUUUCAAAAAGUUAGACUUUCAUAGAUUAUAAAUUCAUGGCCCACAAUUUAAAUGAUUUCAAGUAUUCAUUUGUUUAUUUUUACAUAAUUUGGGCUUCCAGCUCAACAAAUAAAAACAACUUUUCCAUGAUAUUCUAAUUUUUU
rnacentral:lncRNA from 1 species